AUUGAACGCUGGCGGCAGGCCUAACACAUGCAAGUCGAACGAGUGGCGGACGGGUGUGUAAUGUCUGGGCCACUGCCUGAUGGAGGGGGAUAACUACUGGAAACGGUAGCUAAUACCGCAUACCAUCCGAUUUGCCCAGAUGGGAUUCGCUAGUAGGUGGGGUAAAGGCUCACCUAGGCGACGAUCCCUAGCUGGGCUGAGAGGAUGACCAGCCACACGUGAACUGAGACACGGGCAAGACUCCUACGGUAGGCAGCAGUGGGGAAUAUUGCACAAUGGGCGCAAGCCUGAUGCAGCCAUGACGCGUGUAUGAAGAAGGCCUUCGGGUUGUAAAGUACUUUCAGCGGGGAGGCGUUACCCGCAGAAUAAGCACCGGCUAACUCCGUGCCAGCAGCCGCGGUAAUAC
rnacentral:rRNA from 1 species